rnacentral:rRNA from 1 species
UGGGGAAUUUUGGACAAUGGGCGCAAGCCUGAUCCAGCCAUGCCGCGUGAGUGAAGAAGGCCUUCGGGUUGUAAAGCUCUUUCGGCCGGGAAGAAAUCGCACAGGCUAAUACCUUGUGUGGAUGACGGUACCGGAAUAAGAAGCACCGGCUAACUACGUGCCAGCAGCCGCGGUAAUACGUAGGGUGCGAGCGUUAAUCGGAAUUACUGGGCGUAAAGCGUGCGCAGGCGGUUGUGUAAGACAGGCGUGAAAUCCCCGGGCUCAACCUGGGAACUGCGCUUGUGACUGCACAGCUAGAGUACGGAAGGGGGGGGUGGAAUUCCACGUGUAGCAGUGAAAUGCGUAGAGAUGUGGAGGAACACCGAGGGCGAAGGCAGCCCCCUGGGCCGAUACUGACGCGCAUGCACGAAAGCGUGGGUAGCAAACAG